AAAAGUUACAAAAAGGGUCAUAAUCACUUGAGAUCGUCCAUCAGAAGUGUUAACAUAGAUCUCUAUGCCGAUGAGGAUUUGGGCAACACACCUAUGAACGAAGAAGUGAAGGAGGAGAUUGUAGUUUACCUAUUCCAGUGAAGGGCAAGAUAGAGACUUUAAAUCAAGCAUUAGAUAUCUUUGGGAUGAAUGUGAUUGUGGAAGCAAGUUUUUUGUUAUGACCAAGCAAAAAUAACAUCACAUAUCAAGGAUCGUGAUCUCCGAUCCAGAAAUUUUGCCAACCAGUUAGAAGCGGCUACCUUGGAACAAAUAGUUCUAAUUCCGUAUAAUACUGGUUUUCAUUGGAUGUUGCAUGUCAUCGAUCUUCGAGAGAACUGUGUUUAUGUUUUGGACUCUCUUCAAAGUAAAGUUAACGAAGACAUCCAUGGAGUCA